AUGAUUUCUGCUUCUACUCAUGCUGGAACAAAUAGCAGGGAGUGCACCAUCCAAUCUGCUCUGCACAGCUCUUUUGAACAAUGUGAAAGGAGGGUUGCAUGGACUCUCGGUUUUGUGAGGAAAACAAGUGAUCUUAGGCCCCGCCUUAUGCACAAGUUUCAGUUUCUGUUACCACCCGACACACCUCGAGCAGUACAGCUUUGGUCUGAACUACAAAUUGUGGAAUUUAGUGAGCAUCACUUUAUUAUUCAUAUGCACAUCAGUGAGUUAGCUAGUCGCUUUUGUUUUGAGAAAUUGUGGAGCACUGGAGAUUGGUCGCAUCUCGUACUGGUGUGUACUUCUGUGCGGGGGAUUCCUAUUAAUGGAAAAAUGCUGGGAACAAUACAGAUUAUGAGUAUCUUGGUGCUUUGGCAAUUUUGGCGUCAAGAUAAAUUUAAGGGGAGUGGACGAUGCAGACCUGAACAAUUAUCUGUUGUGCCAGGAGCUAGAAUUCAGUUAGUUGUACUAAUCAGUUUUGAGUACUGCCACUUCAAGUUUCAACCAGAUUGGAUACUAUUGAUCAGGCCACCUGUGCAAGAGCGAACAUCAGAGGUCAAAUUUCCAUUGAUCAUGGGCAAAUGUAUUCUUAUUUGCUUGAAGAUUCAAGACAGGAUUAUCGUCACUCUAAUCAUACUCGGUAAGUGUAUCCAUCCAUCAGCUGCACCUUUUGAGCGGUAUCAUAGUCCCUUGUCCUUGGAGCUGAUCAGCCAUGUCGUAAUCAUCAAACUGGUUUUCUGGGCUUGGAUUACAACUUGUGUUGUGAUGGAGGUGGACCCAAUAGCAAGUACUGCAGCUUGGGAACAUUUUUGUUGUCAGAAACUGAUAUCAACAUGGUCCUAUCAUUUAUUAUUGGAUUACAAGUUUGAGCGGAUAAUCAAGCGAGCACAUCUUGCAUAUUUGGGAAUGGUGGACUCCAGUCCUGCCAGAAUGUGUAUCCCCACUAUACUUGAAGAGGAUGUUCAGUGCAAAAUGUUUAUGGAUCCAAGUCUUGACUCAGUAUAUACCAUUGGAAUUGAAUGCUCAUAUUUUCCAUGCCAUAUUUUGAGCGGGUUACCAUGGCAAGCAUCUGAAUUAGAUGUCCGACCCAAAGUAGCAUACUACAGUACCAUUGUACAUCUGGCACUAUAUCUUUACCAACCUUGUCAUACAGAAAUAAUGAAGAAUUUUGUUAUGACAUUGGGGCAACAACACAUCAGCAAUUCUUUCUAUGGCUUGUCUAGUUCCAACGGCAGUUCGGCAAAGAAUCUUCCAGUACUUGAGGUGUGCAGAGCUAUGCCCUAUGAGCUUAUGCCAUAUCUGGAUUGUUGGAUGGAAAUCUUCCACUCACAGAUUGUUGUCUAUAUAGUCUGGUGCUCCGUAUUUUUGCUCUGUUCUGAUCAUUUGCUCAUGAAUGCUACUGAUCUGUUAGAGUCUGGCACGGGAAUAUACCGGUCGGGCAGGUCUUGGGACCCUGGAGGGCUUGCAUUGUUGUUGCUAAGGAAAUUAACUCGGCGGAAGAUCUUUCAUGGAGGAAGGUGCGCCAUGAUCUUGGUUGCCCGCUGUGUUGUCGCCUCCCCAGCUUCUACUCUUCAACCGUCGACAAUUAUAAGGGCGGAGGUAAUCAGCAAGAGAGCACAGGCCAUGAGUGCUAUGGUGCUCUUUACCUGCUCCGAUCAGGAACAUUCUCAAGGAGGGAGAGGUGUCAGCGCUCUCGCUGUCCGCUUCACGCAAGGCUCCGUCGACCACAAGUACUACAUCGGCUUUAACAACGACUACUUCGUCGACAACUCUUUCGGAUGGGUCGCCAUCAUCCACUACUACCACGUCGUUCAAGUCAACACGGCCUUCGACUGCCACCACGGCUUCGAGCUAUUCAAGGACCAUCAAGUGCAAUGGGAUCCAUGCGGGCGUCGGCUUGGGGUCAAGCCGACUUUCAAGGAGGGGGGGAUGUUAGGAGCCUCCCCUACAAGUACAUGGGCCUGCCCCUGGACGUGCACUUGGGCCUGGGCCAUGCUGGACUACCUCUACUACAAGUACCCUGGAGUAGGCAACAGGGAAGGCCAUCCAGUGGAUCACGGCUACGGCGGCUCGUCUCUUAUCCCCUUCCUCCUCUCUUGCCACGAACCCUAG
rnacentral:rRNA from 1 species